CAGAGGGCUUCCUCUUUUGGGCGAUUCCUCGACCCCAAUCGAUCACGCACUCGGGCUUGUCGAAGCUUCAGCGUUCGACGUCCAUGGAGUGUGCGAAAAGGUCAUCGCUGAGAGGUACCGAUCCGACACUGCUAUUCGCCAACGAGUACCACAGUCUCCGUCGAUGAGAAAGCCCUGCUACCGAGUUCGUCACUUUCUGGCGAGGAUUCUGCAUUGAUCACUGCAGAAGAGAGCCUGCUAGAGCAUUUCCCCCUUGAGUUGUGGGGUACUUCAAUUUGUCAUAGAAGAGGUUAAUGUUGUGGAACAUCAUAAAUCAUGUAAAGAACACAGAAAUGUAAGCUUUCCUUUGAUUCCACUUCUGUGCUCAGCACCAGGCUUACCUUAGCACUGACAAGUAGUUUCAGCUUCCAGCCAAAUAAGAGUGUUGGGCACUUUAAACAUCA